rnacentral:misc_RNA from 1 species
AACGCACAUUGCACUUUUCGGUAUCCCGGGAAGUAUUUCUGUUUGAGAAUCAUUUUAACCCUCUCCCUCUUUUGGAGUCUUUCAAAGGGGGGAGGAUGGAUCAUCCUUUGCGAUGGCAAGCCAUUGCAAUCGAUGCAAAUUUAUGGACAUGACCGGGUCCUUCCAAGUUAGAGCACCUGGCGAAUUCAUUUCAUUUGAAGUCUCGUUGCAGAUCUCGAAAAAUGAUACUAGCCAAUUCUCUAAUGGACUCUUUUGGUUUUUAAAGUCCUGGUCGCGGAUUUGGGGGAAACAACGCUUUCCCUCCACUUCGCGACAAAUCUCCAAAACCUUUGAUCUCAAAUCAGAAAGGAUCACCCGCUGAACUUAA